rnacentral:sRNA from 1 species
GCUGGGCGUGGUGGUGCACGCCUGUAAUUCCAGCUACUUGGGAGGCUGAGGCAGUAGAAUUGCUUGAAUCUGGGAGGUGGAGGUUGCAGUGAGCCUAGAUUGCACCACUGCAUUCCAGCCUGGGCGGCAGAGUGAGAACCUGUCUCAAACAAAAAAAAAAAAAGGAAAGAAGAAAAAAAGAGAUAGGGUCUUGCUCUGUCACCCAAGCUGGAGUGCAGUGGCAUGAUUUUAGUUCACUGCAGCCUCGACCUCUUGGGCUUCAGCGAUUCUCCUGCCUCA